AGAGUUUGAUCCUGGCUCAGAAUGAACGCUGGCGGCGUGCUUAACACAUGCAAGUCGAACGAGGCUGAGGGGGCAACUCCUCAGUUUAGUGGCGGACGGGUGAGUAACACGUGGGUAACCUGCCCGGAAGUGGGGAAUACCUCGGGGAAACUCGAGCUAAUACCGCAUGACAUCUUCGGGACGAAAGUCCUGACGAUCAAAGCGGGGUCGCAAGAUCUCGCGCUACCGGAUGGGCCCGCGCCCGAUUAGCUAGUUGGUGAGGUAACGGCUCACCAAGGCUUCGAUCGGUAACCGGCCUGAGAGGGCGAUCGGUCACACCGGAACUGAGACACGGUCCGGACUCCUACGGGAGGCAGCAGUGGGGAAUCUUGCGCAAUGGGCGAAAGCCUGACGCAGCAACGCCGCGUGGAGGAUGAAGGCCCUUGGGUUGUAAACUCCUGUCGGCUAGGAAGAAAUCUUCCGGGGUUAAUACCCCCGAAAGUUGACUGUACCAGCAAAGGAAGCCCCGGCUAACUCUGUGCCAGCAGCCGCGGUUAAUACAGAGGGGGCUAGCGUUAUUCGGAAUUAUUGGGCGUAAAGGGCGCGUAGGCGGCCAUGCGUGUCUUCCGUGAAAUCCCUCGGCUUAACUGAGGACGUGCGGAAGAAACUGCAAGGCUCG
rnacentral:rRNA from 1 species